CAAGCAGGAUUGAGAAAAUCAUGUUAGCCUUUCAGCAGGAACGUUGAUCAGGGCUAGCGCUGUAAACACACACACACACACACACACACACAUACACAGGCGUAGGUGAGGGUCUCCCAGGGGACGUGAGAAGUUGUCUUUUCAGACGCACACAAACAGGCUCAGGCGGUAAACAGGCGGAUUCUGCUGAAACAAAGCAGAAUGGAAAUGGCGGAUGAUGUCUGGAUCGAACCAUCGUGCUCACUAGCAGGGGGGUUCCUGAAAACAAAAGGAAAGAAGGAGGUUUAAUACAGGGCUGAACCAUCACGCCUAAAAAAGAGGGGUACUCUUAUAAUCUUAGCAGAGAAGUCAGCAGCAUCAAAUCUGAAGAGGAAGAAAGACUGAACAGAUGAUCGUAUUUCUGCAGAUCCAUAGGAGUUCCUGGAGGACCGAAAGGAGAGAUGAAGUGUGUUAAAGGUGCAAAAACGGUAAUUCAGGACACUGCUGCAGGUACCUAAAGGAGGCAAAAGGAUCAAACCCGAGACCCUGAAACCCACCCGGUGGAGGAGUGGAGAGAGGAAGGUGGUGGGGCCAGGAGACAGGGAGUGGAGCCAAGGAGAGGGGUUCCAGAAAGGUUGGAAGAGGUUCCAGACAGUGACAGAGAAGCUGCAGAACCGCUGUGCUGGUGUGUUGUAUGGAGCUUGAUGCUGCACUUCCAUGGUUGAAUUCUGAGCCAGUCUGCCGCUGCUAUCUUCAAAGCGCCUCAAAUGAGAUGAACUGUUUGAUAUGACGUGGUAAAAGUGACCCAGAAAAUACGACCAGCAGCGCAAAUCCCCACAGUUAAUCUAAACGCCCCGCCAUCAUGUUACUUCUCUUUACUUUUGUUGCGCAACACUCACCAUUGAUGACGCAGGCUUGGUUCCCAAAAAGUGGUGGAAACGCGGGUCGGUUCUCUAAAAAACAACAAGAACAGAACCGGUUCAGGAACCAGAGUUCUUUUGGUGAGUGAUUUUGGACCCAAAGUGCAAGCUACGAUGAUGACAUACGGCAACAUAAAACAAUGGAUAUACUUUCUGGAAGGAAUAAAAAGCAUUAAACAUUUAAAAACAUCA